GAGAAGAACAGCAACAGUGUUGAAGUUCUUGGCUUUUACAGAAAGAUGGAAAGCGUUCUCUUCCUGUGGCCUCCACCUCCCCUUCCAGCCACCCCUGACCUCCAUUCACGAAAUAAUGCAUUGCAUGAAAGUGGAAGGAGUCCAAAUGGAGGAUGCAUGCACACAUUCAACAAGUGGAAGGCUGUGUGCUUGUGCAGAAAAACUUGGGUGGUGUGUGUGUGUGUGUUGGUGGAGUUACAGAUGGAGGCAUCAGUGUAGUGGGCACCAGGGUCGCCAUAAGUCGGAAUCGACUAGAAGGCAGUCCAUUUAGCAGUCAAAAGAGACCCGUACAGAAGCUGAAACACUCACCUCACCAUUAAUAUCUUUUUCAUUGGUCUAUUGGAUGACAAGAUCAACAAACGGCUGCAAGGACUCACAGUUAUUACAGCUAAGCACGGGAAAAUGGAUUUUGUAUCAGUAGAAGUGAUCAACAGAAGUAAUUGCGAACUGCCUGCAUCUGCCCCCAUUUUGUGACUGACUCUCCUCUCUCUCUCCAUCACCACUGUGGGUCCCAACCUGUCCAAAGAGACAAAAUAAGAGGAAACAAUUUUGCAAUCAAAAGAGACCAGUGCAGAAGCUAAAACACUCAUCUCCCUAUCACUGUCUUUUUCAGUUGGCUAUUUUCAAUUUUCAACUGUCUAGUCAAAUGCAUGACAGGUUCAACAAACACCCACAAGGACUCACAGCUAAGCAUGGUAUCUUCACCUCUCUCUUUGCUCAUCAUCCAGAUGAUGGUGCAGAUGUGCAAAUGCAUGUUAACAACCUCUUUCACCACA